rnacentral:lncRNA from 1 species
GCGAAUACAUAAAACAAAACAAACACUGAAGUCCUUUUCCCUCUCACACAGCACAAAUCAAAGAAACCCCCCCACCCACUCGUUUCUUCUCCGGUGAGACCACCGGCGGAACCGUUGCCGGUAUACCGCCCAGCCGCACCCCCUUCUUCUCCGACGCGACACCGCUACCCCCUUCAUCUUCUCCGGUCGGAUUUACGGCAGACACCAUCAACCGCCCCCCUGUUCUUGACUAAUUGAACCACCGACUACCACCCCUCUAGUGGUGGCACGCAGCGACGCGAGAGAGAGAGGAGACGAGAGAGAGAAGCAGGUUAGAGAUGGAAGUUUAACGGCUGCAACAGUGGUGGCACUCGAUAGAACCGUCGGCGACGGCGCCGCCGUGACGGCAGCGGUGGUGUUUCGACUCCGACGAGGCAACUGGUAAACCCUUCACCUUCCUACAUUUCGGUUCCUUUCUUUCGAUCUAAUGUAGGUUAAUACUGACAAUGUUCCGUUUGUUCGGGUCGAGUCUGGUUCGUGUUUCGACUCGGUUUGGUUUGGAUCUUGGCUCAGCUUAGCUCCGAUUCAGUUUUGGUUCUCGGUUUGUUUCGACUCACGCAGUUCGGUUCAGAUUCGGAUCGAUUUGGUUCAGAUCCGGUUCAGUCGAGUUCAAUCGGUUCGGUUCGAUGCCCGGGUCAAACCUGGUCAAACUUGGUCAACUGAGGUCUCGAUGCACUCGGUAGUUCAACGACGGUGACCUCGGUGUUCCACCCUCCAAAUCUUUUACGCUCGUCAACACUUGGAUAAUCGGAAGACUUAGCAAUUAUGUUGACAGUCAAGAUGUUGAAGAAUCAAGUUAGGAUGGACUAGAUACCCAUUUUAAUAAUAAACCAUGUUUGUUGCAAUUUGUCUUUAUUUGAAUCAAUGUAUUUGAAUUUAGUCAUUUAUGAAAUUUGAUUUAAUCUAUAUUGUCACAAAUAGUGUUAUGAUGCUUUUGAGCGAUUUGUUCGUCUCAUCCCGAUGUUUCCGCCAUCGGUUGGGGUGUGAC